AUUGAACGCUGGCGGCAGGCCUAACACAUGCAAGUCGAACGAAUGGCGGACGGGUGGGUACUGUACGGGAAACUGCCUGAUGGAGGGGGAUAACUACUGGAAACGGUAGCUAAUAACGCCUACCAUCAGAUGUGCCCAGAUGGGAUUAGCUUGUGGGUGGGGUAACGGCUAACCAAGGCGACGAUCCCUAGCUGGACUGAGAGGAGGACCAGCACAACUGGAACUGAGCCACGGUCCAGCUUCCUACGGGAGGCAGCAGUGGGGAAUUUUGGACAAUGGGGGAAAGCCGGAUGCAGCCAUGCCGCGGGUAUGAAGAAGGCCUUCGGGUGGUAAAGUACUUUCAGCGGGGAGGCGUUACCCGCAGAAGAAGCACCGGCUAACUCCGUGCCAGCAGCCGCGGUAAUAC
rnacentral:rRNA from 1 species